GCGCGAUUAGCUCAGGGGUAGAGCGCAUGCUUCACACGCAUGAUGUCGCAGGUUCAAAUCCUGCAUCGCGCACCA
rnacentral:tRNA from 4 species